rnacentral:lncRNA from 1 species
CUUUUCCCAUGGACUUGACGGAUCCGGAACCUCGAGGACCCAGGAGUCUGAGAAACAAAUCAGAAAUCGGGAGAAGCCUGUCUGAGUGCCCCAACCAACGCCGUAGCAACAGCGGGGUCUCUGCUUGAAGGACGCUUCGGACCACCAAUCCGAGUGGCCACUGUCUUUUAAAACUAAAUUGAGCCAAACCAAUCGUGGCCGUGGAACUCGGGGCGCAGUGGAACCAAUGGGGUGACGAGGUGGCAGCAGGCAGGCGGGGCUAGGAGCGCCAGGAGACCUUUGGUGACGUGAGCGACAGUGCGCGCCGGGGCGAAAAGCUCCCGAACUGGGGAAUUAGCUCUAGUAGCAGAGCGCUCGCUUAGCAUGUUAGAGGGGGUGGGAUCAAUGCCGGCUUUCUCCGCGGCCGCAUUUUACUAGGGGGUCACCUCCCGCGGUCACUGUAUCCGAGCAGGUGGCAACCCCGGAAGUGGGCUCUAGAUGUGGAGUUGCUGAAUGCCUCUAGCUGGGCCCCCCACCUUCACGAGGGAGGGGAGACACACAGAACGGGGCGGGGGGGGGUCCCUUUUAUUUGGAGGAAGGAUUGACACUCUAGUCAUCUUCCAGGUUGAUGAUCUGGCCCGUUUCCCCGCCAGGUUCCCUUUUCAGGUGAGGACCAGGUCCUGGACCUCAGGAUCCCUGCCCCCGAACUGCCUGGGGCAAGGAGGAUUGCUCACUUUGUACCACUGCAAGUAACCUGCCCUGUUCCUGUGGACUCUCCGCAUCCCCCGAAACCCAACUGGCAAAAGCUGGAAGAACCUGGGCAAUUGAGUUAGGUGCGCUGGAGCUGCCUGCCAGGGACAGCACUGUCACUCACACCAGAGAGCCCUAGAGGGCGGCUCCCAGGUCCCAUGAAACUGCCCCCAACACACACCGCCUAAGAAACAGCAGGUGACAAGAAGGUGAACAAUCUGGGGGCCUGGCAGAGAGACCCCGUAGUGGGACUUUGUGUGCAGGAAGUGGGAGAUGGAGUGGCAGAAGUGACUGCUGAGUCUUACAGGGCCUGGAAGGACCAUGCCACAAUGCCAGUCCUCAAGGCUCACACCUCAGACAGGGGUUCCUUGGUGUGGGGUUGGUCAGGGACGACCAUUCCAGCACUAGAGGACUGUCUGAGGAAGUCCAUGACCCCUGGGUAAUGUGGCAGAGCUUGGCUGCUGGGGGACGGGAAGGGCAGAACCUCCAGGAGUUGAGCACCUGCUGCCUUUACCAAGAUCAGCAUCUCUCUGCACCCUCGCCCCUGUCCACAAGCCCCAGCUGGCCUGGGCUCCUUCCACCUCACUGACUCAGGCUUUCUGAGCUCUAACAUCAAAUGGCAGGGGAACUGCCCAGCUUGGGUUGGAUCAAUCCCAGGGCCUAGGGACUGCUGACAUGCCCCACCCUCACCAAUCCACUCUUAAGCAGAGCCUGUGGCUGGAGGCAGACUAUCUAGAAAGAGUUCAUUUGGGGAGCUCCAAACAGUAUUAUCC